GCCAAGCAGGAAGGCAGCAACUUCUUGUGGGUAGAGAGGUCUCAAAAUAACACAGGCCACAAACCUGCUGCUCUGCUCUGUCAGAAAGCAAAUGAUUCUCCAGACUGAGCUUUUGCUGGCAGAGAAAAAUGUGUCCAGGAUUCACAUCAGGAGAGCAUACAGGAGUCACAUUCUUGCAGGCCAAACAACAGGAUGUCAGCACCUAGAGCUUGAAUUUCUGCAGAAAUUGAUGCUAAUCUGGGAAGCAUUUUUUACUGGCAAUUGAUGUUGCUGCCAUAGAAAGAAACACAUAUAUAUGGGGACAAGAUAUAAAACAAGACAAAUGAAGAGAUACAAGUGUUCUCCCUGGAGUUUCAAGAUUCUAAUACAAGCAAAAUCACAGGAAGUUUCACGUCUUGCCUGCAAGGUCCAAACUUUGAUGUUUCACAGUCACAAGAUCACAUGGGCAGACCCAGUGAAGGACUUAGGGUCCCUAAGGCCCCUCUGGCUACCUUGGAGUCCUGCCACUCACCUGCUCUCCUGGAAUGUAGAAAAAUUGCUUUCCCAUCUUGUGAGACAACAUCAUGUUCUGGCUGUGGUGACUCACAGCGACAGCUUCUGCAGCUUCAAAGAACAUGGGAGAAGGUACGAACCAGCCCACCUUUGUUCUCCCGACUUAAUUCCCACUGUGCAGUGCUUCAUACAACCGCCAGCACUUGGUGUGCUGUUUUUAACAGCAAUCUGCUGCAGGGAUCACACACAUUGUGCAAUCUGCUGGUUAUCAGCAUAGACAGUUCAAUUUAUUCUAGUCUGUGUUUUGUUUUGCAUCCUAGAAGGUUUUAGCACCCUUAGUUAAAGCUUAUGUGCAGUGAGCUCUUGUAGUGCCUCAGGAGCAGACUUCUUUGCUGGUAAAUUCUUGCUGGACAGCCAAGGUGCCUGCAGCAGCUUAGAGAAGAUGUUUAAAGCUGCUUUGAUUGAGAUGCUGAGAUACAUGGGGUUUCAGGCCAGCAGAAAGACAAUGUAAGGCCCAGUCAAUAAGAUGGUAUUACUGACUCAGUCCAAACAUUGCUAUUUUUUUGCUGUCCUAGGGAUUUGUGCAAUAUCCUUUUUUCACAGCAUUUAAAGAAAGACCUGUUAUAGGAAGUGCUAAAAAAAAAAGGUAUAAAAUUGAUGUA
rnacentral:lncRNA from 14 species